CACGUAGGGGGCGAGCGUUGUCCGGAUUUAUUGGGCGUAAAGAGCUCGUAGGCGGCUCCGUAAGUCAGGUGUGAAAACUCCAGGCUCAACCUGGAGACGCCACCUGAUACUGCUGUGGCUAGAGUCCGGUAGGGGAGCAUGGAAUUCCUGGUGUAGCGGUGAAAUGCGCAGAUAUCAGGAGGAACACCAGUGGCGAAGGCGGUGCUCUGGGCCGAUACUGACGCUGAGGAGCGAAAGCGUGGGGAGCGAACAGG
rnacentral:rRNA from 1 species